UACGGAGGAUCCAAGCGUUAUCCGGAUUUAUUGGGUUUAAAGGGUGCGUAGGUGGCUUAUUAAGUCAGGGGUGAAACGACGGUAGCUUAACUAUCGCAGUGCCUUUGAUACUGAUGAGCUUGAAUGAACUAGAGGUAGGCGGAAUGUGACAAGUAGCGGUGAAAUGCAUAGAUAUGUCACAGAACACCAAUUGCGAAGGCAGCUUACUAUGGUUUUAUUGACACUGAGGCACGAAAGCGUGGGGAGCAAACAGG
rnacentral:rRNA from 1 species